ACGUAGGGUGCAAGCGUUAAUCGGAAUUACUGGGCGUAAAGCGUGCGCAGGCGGCUUUGCAAGACAGAUGUGAAAUCCCCGGGCUCAACCUGGGAACUGCAUUUGUGACUGCAUGGCUAGAGUGCGGCAGAGGGGGAUGGAAUUCCGCGUGUAGCAGUGAAAUGCGUAGAUAUGCGGAGGAACACCGAUGGCGAAGGCAAUCCCCUGGGCCUGCACUGACGCUCAUGCACGAAAGCGUGGGGAGCAAACAGGAUUAGAUACCCUGGUAGUCCACGC
rnacentral:rRNA from 1 species